UUCGGUUUGGGUGGCGGACGGGUGAGUAACGCGUAAAGAACUUGCCUCACAGUUAGGGACAACAUUUGGAAACGAAUGCUAAUACCUGAUAUUAUGAUUUUAGGGCAUCCUAAGAUUAUGAAAGCUAUAUGCGCUGUGAGAGAGCUUUGCGUCCCAUUAGCUAGUUGGAGAGGUAACGGCUCACCAAGGCGAUGAUGGGUAGCCGGCCUGAGAGGGUGAACGGCCACAAGGGGACUGAGACACGGCCCUUACUCCUACGGGAGGCAGCAGUGGGGAAUAUUGGACAAUGGACCAAAAGUCUGAUCCAGCAAUUCUGUGUGCACGAUGACGUUUUUCGGAAUGUAAAGUGCUUUCAGUUGGGAAGAAAAAAAUGACGGUACCAACAGAAGAAGUGACGGCUAAAUACGUGCCAGCAGCCGCGGUAAUACGUAUGUCACAAGCGUUAUCCGGAUUUAUUGGGCGUAAAGCGCGUCUAGGUGGUUAUGUAAGUCUGAUGUGAAAAUGCAGGGCUCAACUCUGUAUUGCGUUGGAAACUGCAUGACUAGAGUACUGGAGAGGUAAGCGGAACUACAAGUGUAGAGGUGAAAUUCGUAGAUAUUUGUAGGAAUGCCGAUGGGGAAGCCAGCUUACUGGACAGAUACUGACGCUAAAGCGCGAAAGCGUGGGUAGCAAACAGGAUUAGAUACCCUGGUAGUCCACGCCGUAAACGAUGAUUACUAGGUGUUGGGGGUCGAACCUCAGCGCCCAAGCU
rnacentral:rRNA from 1 species